GAUGAACGCUGGCGGCGUGCCUAAUACAUGCAAGUCGAGCGAACGGACGCGUAGCUUGCUUCUCUGAUGUUAGCGGCGGACGGGUGAGUAACACGUGGAUAACCUACCGAUAAGACUGGGAUAACUACGGGAAACCGGAGCUAAUACCGGAUAAUAUUUUGAACCGCAUGGUUCAAAAGUGAAAGACGGUCUUGCUGUCACUUAUAGAUGGAUCCGCGCUGCAUUAGCUAGUUGGUAAGGUAACGGCUUACCAAGGCAACGAUGCAUAGCCGACCUGAGAGGGUGAUCGGCCACACUGGAACUGAGACACGGUCCAGACUCCUACGGGAGGCAGCAGUAGGGAAUCUUCCGCAAUGGGCGAAAGCCUGACGGAGCAACGCCGCGUGAGUGAUGAAGGUCUUCGGAUCGUAAAACUCUGUUAUUAGGGAAGAACAUAUGUGUAAGUAACUGUGCACAUCUUGACGGUACCUGAUCAGAAAGCCACGGCUAACUACGUG
rnacentral:rRNA from 1 species